rnacentral:rRNA from 1 species
CAGUCGCCACGGUAAUACGUAGGGUGCAAGCGUUAAUCGGAAUUACUGGGCGUAAAGCGUGCGCAGGCGGUUAUAUAAGACAGAUGUGAAAUCCCCGGGCUCAACCUGGGAACUGCAUUUGUGACUGUAUAGCUAGAGUACGGCAGAGGGGGAUGGAAUUCCGCGUGUAGCAGUGAAAUGCGUAUAUAUGCGUAGGAACACCGAUGGCGAAGGCAAUCCCCUGGGCCUGUACUGACGCUCAUGCACGAAAGCGUGGGGAGCAAACAGGAUUAGAUACCCGCGUAGUCCCUGUCUCUUAUAA